CUGCUCUCGUUCUUUAACCGCGACAUGGCCGCCACCGAUGGCCAGAUCAUAUUGGCCGCAUCCCGUUUUGGGGAUGCGACGCCCGUUUAUUUGCGCGAUUUCUCCAAGCAGCCGCUGCCGGCGGUGGCCAAAAUACUUAAGGGCCAGCAUCAGGCGCUGGGCGUGCCCACCCUAUCGGCGCCCUCGCUCCAGAGCACGGCUCUCUUUUUGAGCGCUGGCAAAAAAUAUCAGAUACUGGCGCAGCCCAUCAAGAUCAAGGAGGGCCGCAAGCCCACUAAUGUGGGCGCCAAGGUGCUCAUACCGGAGACAUACGGCGGCUAUUUUGAGCUGCUCAGCGAGGAUGGACGCUCGACGCGCUGCAUCGAUUCCGUUCUGGAGCUGGCCAGGCGGCGCAAUGCCCGCGUCCUGGUGCGCGAAACGUUUCGCUGCCAACAGAUGAAUCGCACCAUACACGCCGGCGAGCUGUUGACCACCAUGAACGACAACGGCAAAUAUCUGCAGUGCCGGAAUAUCAAGGACGAGAUCAUCAAUCUGCCACUCGAUACCAAAGCCAAGUUCUCGCCGAUUGCGCGCGAGGACAGCAUCAGCGGAGUGCACACCGUCAAGAAUCUGCUGCUCAAGCGAAUGCCCGUCAUUGUGAGACUCGUCCAUGGCAGCGCGCCAAAGGGCCUGAAGCAGCCUUUUGUGCCGGAGCUGCGGCUGCUGGGCUGCGUGGAGAUUGAUCGGAUUUUCGCGCUGCCGCUGCAGAAGGACACGGAUCUGGUGCCGGUGCCGUUGAAUGCAAAGAUUAAGCUGCAGCGCGUCAAGAAUAUGGAGCAGCUGGAGCAUUUCAUAGAGUAUACGCGCUUUCUGGACAAGGCGCAGCGACUGCUGGCGGACGCACGGGAUCGCCUGCAGAUUGUCGAUCUCAAGCUGAGCGAAAAGGAGAAGAAGGACUCCAAGUUCAGCAGCCGCAAUAGCGGCAACAGGCUGCCGGUGGUGAUGCUGCCCUCCGCAGCGGGCCUGGCCAGCGGUUGGGUCGAGAGCGGCUAUGUGCUGCGCAAGAGCGCCAGCUGCGACUCCUGGUCCAAGCAGCAGCAGCAGGCGCUCAACAGCGCCGACAUCGCCGAGGAGUACAACGAGAUCGAUCACAUCUAUGACUAUGUGCGCGGCCUGACGCCGCUCUCAAAGGGCCUGUCGCGCUUCGAGCCCAUCUGCGAGUCGCCCACACUCAAGUCGCAUCACACGGACAGCAGCGGCAAUGGCAACUACUGCAGCCUGAUACGCGCGCCGGCAGCUCCUGCUGCCGCUGGCCAGCUACAGUCACAGCAGCCCAGCAGCAACAACAACAUCAACAAUAACAACUACAGCAGCCUGGAGUCGAACAAGCAUAGCAGCAGCAACGGCGGCGGCGGCGGCGGUGGAGUACACCAUCAUCCGUACCCGCAUCAUCAGCAACAGCAGCAGCUGCUGCUACAUCAGCAUCAGCAUCACCAUCAUCCGUCGGCGCUGCUGGUCAAUCACUAUCAUCACAGCCAUAUACAGGAGGAUAUCAAGCCGGUGCCGCCGCCCAUUGAGACGAUACCCGGCAAGAAGCCGGCCGAGAAGCGGCAGCGUCCCACACUACCAAAGCUUUAUAUCAAGAAUGCGAAUGCGCACAGCGCCGGCAGCAGCAGCAAUGGCAACUCCACCGGCACCGGCACCAGUCACAGUCACAGUCACAGUCACAGCCAUAGUCACAGUCACAGUCAGAGCCAUUCGCAGCAGCAGCUGCCGCCAACGCCGGGUAGCAGCAGCAACAACAACAACAAUACGGCCGCCAUUGUGGCCAGCGCCGCUGCAGCAGCGGUAAACGCUCACCACGCCCACUCGCAUGCCCAUGCACACCACGCACACACACACCCACACGCACACCCACACCACGGCAAGGUGCUGACGCCCAACAAUCAUUUGCCCGUUAAAGAAACGCUGGAGCCGCAGUCGCCGCUGUUUCAUAUCAGAUACAAGAGCCUCAGCAGCCUGCAGCUGACGCCGGACAGCAAUACAGGGGCCAUGACGCCGCCGACGAUCUCAGCCAAGACAGCAGCAGCCGGUGGGGGCGGGGGCGGGGGUGGCUCACAGACGCCGCCCGAUGUGGUGCUCAAGUGCGGCAGCAUACUCAACUCGCACGGCUAUCUGGCGCACAGCCGCAGCUCGAGCAGCAACAACAACAACAAUCACAACAACCAUAAUCCGCGCGAGGGAACGCUGGACUCGUCGCGCAGCGGGGGACGCACAUCGGGCGAUUCACAGAAGCUGCCGGAGAAGAAGACGCGACGCUUGUCGCGGCCGCGCAGCCUCUCCAAUCUGGUGUGGGAUUUGCGGCCAUCCAAGGAGAAGUCCAAGAAGAAGCUCUAUGUGCAUCAUUUUGAUCAGCGUCAGCAGGCGACGCUCUAUCUCUAGGAUGUCAAAAGGGUUGCCGAGCUAUGCGGAGUCGAGCUGGAAUGGAGGGGAGUGUAGUGGAGUGGAGUGGAGUGGAGUGGACCAGAGUGGACUGGAAUGAAGUGGAGGAGAUUCGUUGCCAAAUCGUUUCGCUGCCAUCAACGACAAACCCACAGACAACAACAACAACAACAUCUACAACAACAACUACAACAAAAACAACAACAACAACAAGCAUCAGCAAUAUUUAGCGCUGUGUGUGUUCCUGCAGCUUUCACCAUUUUAGCUUGCAGCAGCAAUUUUAAUUAACAAUUGAAUUGUGCCUUCCCCUGCGCCCAGAACUAUGCUUUAUACAAAAAUUCCACUGAAAUAUUUUUGAAGAAUAUUUUGCCUGGAUGGACGAAAGAGAACGAAUAAUAAGAGAGACGGAGAUACAGUGAAGAAAAAAUGACGGAAGAACCAAACAAAACCAAUCACAUGAAGCGCUGACAGCACACACACACACACACACGUACAUACACACACGCACACAACACAACACACAC
rnacentral:misc_RNA from 1 species